GGAUGUGAGGGCGAUCUGGCUGUGACAUCAGCCAUUCUAUUGAUCACCAGGGUUGCCUGGGCUGAUCUGGCUGGUUAGGGGUUUCCCCUUCUUCCCUCACCGCUCCAUUUGUGUCCCUCCAGAAGCUAUAAGCUUGGUCAAAGAGGAUGGCCUUUCCCUAAUGGAGACUGACCUGUCUUUGAUCGCAGGUAUAAGAGUAGCUGUGCUCUCCAAACAAGCUCUCAUGGUCUUCAAGAUCUCUGCAGUGAUCAGAGGGGAGAUGCAUAAAGUUAUCAAUCAUCGGCU
rnacentral:snRNA from 1 species